GAUGAACGCUGGCGGCGUGCCUAACACAUGCAAGUCGAGCGAGUGAAUCUCCUUCGGGAGUGAAGCUAGCGGCGGACGGGUGAGUAACACGUGGGCAACCUGCCUCAUAGAGGGGAAUAGCCUUUCGAAAGGAAGAUUAAUACCGCAUAAGAUUGUAGCUUCGCAUGAAGUAGCAAUUAAAGGAGCAAUCCGCUAUGAGAUGGGCCCGCGGCGCAUUAGCUAGUUGGUGAGGUAACGGCUCACCAAGGCGACGAUGCGUAGCCGACCUGAGAGGGUGAUCGGCUACAUUGGGACUGAGACACGGCCCAGACUCCUACGGGAGGCAGCAGUGGGGAAUAUUGCACAAUGGGGGAAACCCUGAUGCAGCAACGCCGCGUGAGUGUUGACGGCCUUCGGGUUGUAAAGCUCUGUCUUCAGGGACGAUAAUGACGGUACCUGAGGAGGAAGCCACGGCUAACUACGUGCCAGCCGCCGCGGUAA
rnacentral:rRNA from 1 species